CAGUCGCCGCGGUAAAACGUAGGGUGCAAGCGUUAAUCGGAAUUACUGGGCGUAAAGCGUGCGCAGGCGGUUCUAUAAGACAGAUGUGAAAUCCCCGGGCUCAACCUGGGAACUGCAUUUGUGACUGUAGAGCUGGAGUGCGGCAGAGGGGGAUGGAAUUCCGCGUGUAGCAGUGAAAUGCGUAGAUAUGCGGAGGAACACCGAUGGCGAAGGCAAUCCCCUGGGCCUGCACUGACGCUCAUGCACGAAAGCGUGGGGAGCAAACAGGAUUAGAUACCCGUGUAGUCCCUGUCUCUUAUAA
rnacentral:rRNA from 1 species